rnacentral:rRNA from 1 species
UCAAGAGUACGUGAAACUGCUUAGAGGUUAAGCCCGAUGAACCUGAAUAUCCAUUAUAGAAAAUUCAUCAUUAUGAUUUUAAUAUUAAUAAUAUUAUAAUAAUAGUGUGCAUUUUUUCUAUAAAAGGACAUUGUAAUCUAUUAACAUAAAAUUAUAUUUAUCAUAAGAUCAAUUUCGCGUAUGUUUAUUCAAAUUAUAUUGCUUGCAAUUUAAUAUCGAAUAAAUGCAUUUGAUUUGAUAAAGUGUUGAUAGAUUUAUUAUAUAUAGUGCUUAAAUAUAUAUAUUUUAUAAUAGCAUAAUUAAUCAUUGAUUUUUAUGUUUAUUUAUAUGCACUUAUAUGAUUAACAAUGCGAAAGAUUCAGGAUACCUUCGGGACCCGUCUUGAAACACGGACCAAGGAGUCUAACAUAUGUGCAAGUUAUUGGGUAUAAAAAACCUAAUAGCGAAAUUAACAUAACUUGUAUAAUGGGAUUAGUUUUUAGCCUAUUUUUAAUAGUAUAUUAAUUCAAUCCCGGGGCGUUCUAUAGGUUAUGUAUAAUAAUAUUUAUAUUAUUUAUACCUCUAACUAGAGCGUACCUUGAGCAUAUAUGCUGUGACCCGAA